CACAGCAACUGUGGAACAGUUUUGUGAUUUAUUCAGAAAACUGGCUCCAAGAUCGCUGUGGACAAGACCCAACUUGGCUGGGAGAUUGUAAUCCCUCAGUAGAGCCACGUGGACAGUGAAGCUGGCCGAAGUUUACUCUGAGAAAGGAUCAGAGACUGAAAUUGCUCUGAUUUUCCUAAACCCAGCUUCUGUAGUCAGGAAGAGGUAACUGUCAUAUUUAAAGGCAAGUACUUUCAGG
rnacentral:lncRNA from 1 species